rnacentral:snRNA from 1 species
UUUGAACUUUAAAACAAUGUAAA